GUUCAUUUGGUUCUCCGCCUUCCAGUCUUUCACCUCCUCCUCCUCCUCCUCCUCCAUCCACCCCGCUGCAUCCUUCAGAGCUGCGAGAGCGCGAGCAUCACCACCGUCAAGUUAAACUACAAAACCACAUGACUUCCUGAUUUUGGCUACAUAUGCACGCCGUAUAUUUGUUUUUCAUGACGUCUUUUAGUUUGAAGGCAAAGUCGCUAUCGGGUCAUGGCUCUCGCCGCUUCUUCAGGAAACAACCCUGGGACACUCCGCAUUGUGGACUGCCUCUCUCUUGAGAUGAUCCUGGCCAGUCCCAGUAGGAGGGAAUAGGGAGGAAGGAAGCAGGUGCUAAUAUACGGUCCCCAUCUUUCCUCUCCAUGCAGGUUGUUGGUGAGCUUGAGAGUGUCGAAGGAAACAGUCUGCUUCAUCCACUGGGCUCCACAGGCAGGGAUAAAGUCCAUGAGCAGGACAUAUUCAGCAGCAGGAUCCAUCCCAGAGAUUUGCACCUGGAAUGUUGGAAACAUCCUCCUGCAGUUUGUGAACAUGUAAAUGAACGUUAUGUAGUAAGAGACACCAGAGAAAGAGGGAAAUGGAGAAGUGCAAGAUAAGGUAGUGAGGAAUAUAAAUUGUUACCUUCCAG